GGGGGGGUUAAGAGGUGUGGGCAGGGGGGGGGGAAGAGAUUACGAAAGCUGCCGGGCAAACGAUACUUUGUUGCGCGCACAGUCGCCGAUCGGAUUGAGUGGCGCGUUUAGACCUCUGUAAGUAAUAAGAAAAUGGAUGACAACGUCUGGGGCAUUUAACCAAUUCAUAGAGGCAGGUUUUUGAGCUAAUGUAGAAACAAAGCAUUUGUAUAUUUUAUUUACUAACUAAAAUGUAGUGCUCUCUCACACAUUUACAAAUACAAUAAAAGCAGCUGAACUGAUGCUUCAACACAGACCUGAACGUAAGCCGUAAUUAUGCAAAGUGUUUAUGCAUGAUUGAUGUAUAUUAUUAUUUUUUUGACAUUAGAAUAUACAUACAUUUGAGCGUUAUCUUUUUGUAAUCCAUUUUGGUGGUUCCCCACCACAAUAAUCACUUCACAUAAACAUCUUAAGUAAAUAUUAAAAUUAAGUAAGGUAUCAAUAAAACCAUAGUUUCUGCUAUUUCUAAAUCAUGAAGUGUGAGAGUACACACGUUUAUUUCACUAUUUCACACUAGGCAUCUCUACAUUUGGGAUCCAAUCAAACUGAAUCUGAGUAAAUAAACUAUUUUGGCAUUCACAACUUCGCUGAGUUCCCUUUUUUUUUCUCCAAAAAACGGACGUUCUCUCACUCCAGAGGAGGCAGGGAGCUCCGGCUGAGUUCACCCACAAGAGGGGAGCAGACUCACCCGUCUGGACCCAGUGACCGUCCACCAGUGACCGUCCACCAGUGUGUUUGCAGUGCACAGAAAACACCAGUGAAGGUUAACGAGGAAGGUCUCGGCACAGAAUGCAGUAGCUGGUCUGAUGAACUAUUGUUUCAGUCGGGCUUGACACAAAAGCACGUCGAUGGUUAACUGAAGGGAGGAGUGUCUCGCUCCGGGCCCAUGUUGCUUUAUUAGUGUGACAAAUAACGUGUGCGCUCGUGAAGGGGAGACAUGUGAGUGACUGCCAAUAAGGGCUAAUGUUCUACACAUUAACUCCCGCGCUUUACUCCAUUAGUGUCAAACAAGCCACAUUAGGAAAGCGGCACACAUGCAUCACGUUUAAUGAAGCUAACUUUUCCAUGUAUUAUUAAUCUGCUGUGAGAUAUUGUUGAUUCGAUAAUAAAUACAAUGCAGCGUAUAUAGCUGCUUAAUGUGGCUUUGUUUGCUCCUAUGACGAUAGAGAUCUAUCAUAACUACAAGAUGUCACAUUUUUUACCUCUCAAAUCCAGUUUUUAUGUCUUGCAUUACCACUUACUGUAAAUAGCGUUUGGAGGUUGUGUGCUUCCGUCAGACGGCAUCACAUCUUAAUUGUUUUGUUUAAGCUGUGUGAGCAAAAGCCUGAAAACGCAAUGAACACACUGUGAUUUUGUCAAACUCUGGGAUCUGCAUUACAAUCUGAUGAAUACAACAAAGCUCUUGGUCUGACCAACGUUUGGCUGCACAGCAUGGACUUCAUCUGCCGAUGGAUUCACCAGUGGGUCCAGUUGGGAUGAAGGAGUUAGGGCAGGGACACGACCAGCAGAGGGCGACACCACCACAAAGAGCUCUACCUGAAAUACUCCCGUUGAGAAAGGAUGUGCAUGUCUAACAUCCAGAAUCUCAUUAAUAACUGUUCAUAUUACAGGUGUUGUGCACAGCCGUGCAGCUGCAGGAUUUAUUUUCAGCCUUAGAUUUUUUGAUUUUUUAGAAACAUGUGUUGAUGGGGAAUCACUCAGACUAAUUGAGAUUGUCAUUUUACAUCAUUACCUUGCUGGUAUUGCCACCAAUAGUCCAUGUAUCAUGUUGACAGAAACUUGUGUUUCUUUAACGAACUCUUUAACGGCUUUAAAUAAUGCAAUGGUUAUUGUACCAGCUUCAUAUGAUAAGAAGUGUUGCAAGCCAAAAUGCUAUGAUUGAAAUGGUUAUUCUUUCAAAAAAAUCUAAUAUCUAAUAUAAAGAAGGAUCUUUUACAAGAUCGGCCCACAAUGAAUGGUAUUCCAUUCAGAGCUUUAACAGAGCAGCACAACCACUUGCUAUUUAAAGAUAGCAAGGCAUGAUAAUAAACAUUGCUUGUUUUCACAAGCGUACACGGGAGGUCCGAAUCGAUUUACGUCAUCCAUCUGCAACACUGACACUGAAUCCUUCUUUAACUUUAUUACUCCUGGAAAAAUGACAGAGAAAUCUGCAGACAAUGUGAUUGCCUAGUCUGUCAUUUCAGUUCUCUGCACUUCCACUGGUUUCUUUGAAGAAAUGGUGGGAAAGGCUUCAAUCCGCCUGAAGCUGUUGGUUUUCACAAGAGAUUCCUUUUGCUUUCAGAUUGUUUGCAGAGAUUUGUGGCUCAUCCAAAUUCAAAUAGUCCCAAAUGUAUUUAGCUCUCAAGUUGUUGCCACUAGUAGCGUCUGUAGAUGCCGUCUUUAUGCAGACUUCAAACAUCCACUGAAUUUCUUUGCAGGCGUUCUCUGCAGGAGAUUCUUGGCUGCCGGGCUUUGAAUUCAGAUCUUCAUCUACCAAAAUAACCCUGUGAAGAUGUAAAUAUGAGACUCACAUUUUCAGCAAAUGGCAGCAUGAAAAACACAUUUUCUGUAGUACAUUCUGUAUUCAUUUUGGUUUAUUAAUUAUUAUAACUUCAUUAUAUGGCCGUGUGGGCUUCCAAAAUGGCUCAAGCUAAUUACGGAGAUAUUUGUUUUCACAGGAAACAUUUGACACAUUACUAUAAGAAAAAUGUGUAGAUGAUCAAAUAAAUGAUGUCGGUCAUGGUCUCUGAGAUAUAGAUACGCGUCUUUGUGUAUUACAGCCUUUGUACAGCAAGAAUAUUUCCCUUUUUUACACAAAAAUAUACUAUUUGUUAAUGUAAUUGUGCUAACAUGUGGCCAAAAUGAAGGCCGGUGGAAAUGCGCUUGUGAGAAAGUGAAUUUACCACAAGAGGGAGAUAUUGGUUAAAAAGAGAUGGCGGUCCAUGUGAUUGUCUCAUAAUGGAAGUAGAUAAUAUUGUUGAAUGUUUAAUGUUGUAUUAUACAAUUUGCAGACAAGAAAGACCCAUUGCAGAAGUCAAGGCACAUGUGUCAUAAUAAUAAUAA